rnacentral:rRNA from 1 species
ACUCAAAGGAAUUGACGGGGGCCCGCACAAGCGGUGGAGUAUGUGGCUUAAUUCGAUGCAACGCGAAAAACCUUACCUGGGUUUGACAUGCAUUGCUAACCAAGUGAAAGCUUGCGAGGGCAGCAAUGCCCGCCUUGCACAGGUGCUGCAUGGCUGUCGUCAGCUCGUGUCGUGAGAUGUUGGGUUAAGUCCCGCAACGAGCGCAACCCUCGUGUGCUGUUACCGAUUUAUAUCGGGAUUCUGCGCAGACUGCCCCGUGAAACGGGGAGGAAGGCGAGGAUGACGUCAAGUCAGCAUGGCCCUUACACCCAGGGCUGCACACGUACUACAAUGCUCAGUACAAAACGAUCCGGGGCUGCAAAGCGACGGAAAUCAAAAAAACUGAGCUCAGUUCAGAUUGCAGGCUGCAACUCGCCUGCAUGAAGUUGGAAUCGCUAGUAAUGGCGCAUCAGCUACGGCGCCGUGAAUACGUUCCCGGGCCUUGCACACACCGCCCGU